CCAGCUACAUACUAUACAUGGUAUACAACAACGAAUAUGCAGCUCGUAAUUUUAAAUUUGCUGCUUUUAUUCUCUUUUGUGGAUCUUCAUACAUUAGCGGUAAGUCUAUAACAUCUAUAAUAAAUAUAUUUCCAUUUUUAAUCUGUAUAUUAUUGUGUGAAAUUUGAGUUUCUUGCAAAUAAACAUCAAAUGGCGAUGCUUUGUAUUUAAUAUUUUUAUGUCGCUGACAGCCGACAGGUAUAGAAGAUCACUAGGCACCAAGGGUGGGUAGUAGCGAAG